UACGAAGGGAGCUAGCGUUGUUCGGAAUCACUGGGCGUAAAGCGCACGUAGGCGGACGUGUCAGUCAGGGGUGAAAUCCCGGAGCUCAACUUCGGAACUGCCUUUGAUACAGCACAUCUGGAGUCCGGAAGAGGUGGGUGGAAUUCCUAGUGUAGAGGUGAAAUUCGUAGAUAUUAGGAAGAACACCGGUGGCGAAGGCGGCCCACUGGUCCGGUACUGACGCUGAGGUGCGAAAGCGUGGGGAGCAAACAGG
rnacentral:rRNA from 1 species